rnacentral:misc_RNA from 1 species
GAAAUGCGAUAAGUAAUGUGAAUUGCAGAAUUCAGUGAAUCAUCGAAUCUUUGAACGCACAUUGCGCCCGCCAGUAUUCUGGCGGGCAUGCCUGUCCGAGCGUCAUUUCAACCAUCAAGCCCCCGGGCUUGUGUUGGGGACCUGCGGCUGCCCGCAGGCCCUGAAAACCAGUGGCGGGCUCGCUGUCACACCGAGCGUAGCAGCAAUCACCUCGCUCAGGGCGUGCUGCGGGUUCCGGCCGUUAAACAGCCUUACAAAACCCAAGGUUGACCUCGGAUCAGGUAGGAAGACCCGCUGAACUUAAGC